rnacentral:rRNA from 1 species
CCGGCUAACCUCGUGCCAGCAGCCGCGGUAAUACGAGGGGCCCGAGCGUUAAUCAGAAUCACUGGGCUUAAAGCGUGCGCAGGCGGUCCAGCAAGCGUCUUGUGAAAUCCCUCGGCUCAACCGGGGAAGUGCAGGGCGAACUGCUGGACUUGAGGCAGGUAGGGGCUGAUGGAACCAUGGGUGGAGCGGUGAAAUGCGUAGAU